AGUCAGUCACAGACACACAUGACAUGACAUUACACGUCGUAACUUUCAACAAGUUGUUUUAACAACGGAGAUCGGCUUGUGACAAUAGAAAUGAAAUAGCCAAAUGGUCUAAUCCAAUAAUGCAAGCUCACAACCUAUGUCUUCUGAAGAAAAAUCAUUUCUGUUGCAGAUUUUGCAUUUAGACCGAAUGAGAACCAUUUUGUUGCCCAUCCGAGGAUAAGGAAAAGGCCAACCCCACCAAAACGGUCAACAAGGCUCUUUGUUUGUUUACCCCUUGGCUGGUGAAAGAUUGUUGUGCAUCAAGUUAACCUGUGGCUGUUCCUUGUUGCUGGUGUCUUGUUACAGAAGUUGCAGGCAUCAGCAUUUUGAAUUUGACAUUUACAAUUUUCGUAAUGGUUUCGCGUAGUUGCUGUCCGCUGUGGUACGUUGUUGCAGCCUAUGCUGGUGAUAGAUCUUUCUGCAUCAAAUUCAAUUGGCCGUUCCUUGGUGCUGGUGUCGUGUUAAAGUUGCAUUAUUAUUUUAUUAAAUUGGCAUUGUGUCAAUGUAGUUUAGCGUUAUUAUGUUAAGAAGAAACAAAAAAGAAAUAUGGGGUGUUUAUGUCAAACAAAUAAUAAACAUGAUUUUGGGAUUGGGAAA